rnacentral:sRNA from 2 species
AUGCACCACUCGCCCACUGCGAUUCUGAGUGCGCCGUCCACACCCAACUGACGACUGUUCGCGACGUUUCGGCGCC